rnacentral:rRNA from 1 species
GGCCUGGGCUACACACGUGCUACAAUGGUCGGUACAGAGGGUUGCCAAGCCGCGAGGUGGAGCUAAUCUCAUAAAACCGAUCGUAGUCCGGAUCGCAGUCUGCAACUCGACUGCGUGAAGUCGGAAUCGCUAGUAAUCGCGAAUCAGAAUGUCGCGGUGAAUACGUUCCCGGGCCUUGUACACACCGCCCGUCACACCAUGGGAGUGGGUUGCACCAGAAGUAGCUAGUCUAACCUUCGGGAGGACGGUUACCACGGUGUGAUUCAUGACUGGGGUGAAGUCGUAACAAGGUAGCCGUAGGGGAACCUGCGGCUGGAUCACCUCCUUA